rnacentral:rRNA from 1 species
CCUACGGGUGGCAGCAGUGGGGAAUAUUGGGCAAUGGGCGCAAGCCUGACCCAGCAACGCCGCGUGAAGGAAGACGGCUCUAGGGUUGUAAACUUCCUUUUUGAGGGACGAAGAAAGCGACGGUACCUCAGGUAUAAGCCACGGCUAACUACGUGCCAGCAGUCGCGGUAAUACGUAGGUGGCAAGCGUUAUCCGGAUUUAUUGGUUGUAAAGGGCGAGUAGGCGGGAAGGCAAGUCAGAUGUGAAAACUCAGGGCUCAACCCUGAGCCUGCAUUUGAAACUGUUUUUCUUGAGUGCUGGAGAGGCAAGCGGAAUUCGGGGUGUAGCGGUGAAAUGCGUAGAUAUACGGAGGAACACCAGUGGCGAAGGCAGAUUGCUGGACAGUAACUGACGCUGAGGCGCGAAAGCGUGGGGAGCAAACAGGAUUAGAUACCCCAGUAGUC